rnacentral:rRNA from 1 species
GACAGAGGUGCCGAGCGUUAGGCGGAAUCACUGGGCUUAAAGCGUGUGUAAGCGGGUCGUUAAGUGCCUUGUGAAAUCCCACAGCUCACCUGUGGAACCGCUUGGCAUACUGGCGAUCUUGAGCCACUUAGGGGCAACCGGAACAAACGGUGGAGCGGUGAAAUGCGUAGAUAUCGUUUGGAACGCCAAUGGUGAAAACAGGUUGCUGGGAGUGCGCUGACGCUGAGACACGAAAGCCAGGGGAGCGAACGGG